rnacentral:rRNA from 1 species
UACCUGCAGCUCAAGUGGUGAUCAUUAUUAUUGGGCCUAAAACGUCCGUAGCCGGUUUAGUAAAUGCCUGGGUAAAUCGUGUAGCUUAACUAUACGACUUCCGGGUAGACUACUAAACUUGAGACCGGGAGAGGCUAGAGGUACUCCUGGGGUAGAGGUGAAAUUCUGUAAUCCUAGGGGGACCACCAGUGGCGAAGGCGUCUAGCUAGAACGGGUCUGACGGUGAGGAACGAAGCCCUGGGGCACAAACCGGAUUAGAUACCCGGGUAGUCAGGGUGUAAACGCUGCUUGCUUGAUGUUAGUUGGGCUCCGAGCCCAACUAGUGUCGGAGAGAAGUUGUUAAGCAAGCUGCCUGGAAGUACGGUCGCAAGGCUGAAACUUAAAGGAAUUGGGCGGGGAGCACAGCAACGGGUGGAGCGUGCGGUUU